rnacentral:rRNA from 1 species
UACAGAGGGCGCGAGCGCUAAUCGGAAUUACUGGGCGUAAAGCGCACGUAGGUGGCGACGUAAGUCGGGUGUGAAAGCCCCGGGCUCAACCUGGGAAUUGCAUUCGAGACUGCAUUGCUGGAGUACGGAAGAGGAGGGCGGAAUUCCCGGUGUAGCGGUGAAAUGCGUAGAUAUCGGGAGGAACAUCAGUGGCGAAGGCGGCCCUCUGGUCCAGUACUGACACUCAAGUGCGAAAGCGUGGUGAGCAAACAGG